rnacentral:tRNA from 1 species
GCCGGAGUGGCGGAACUGGCAGACGCACAGGACUUAAAAUCCUGCGGCCCUUAACAGGUCGUACCGGUUCGAUUCCGGUCUCCGGCACCA